rnacentral:lncRNA from 1 species
ACUUUAAGGUAAAAGGCAGAGGCUGACAAAAAUGACAAGUCUGUGCAGGAUCUGGUCAUCUUGCUGUAUGAAACUGCACUCCUAUCUUCUGGCUUCAGUCCUCAAGACCCCUAGAGCCAUGCUAACAGAAUCUACAGGAUGACCAAGCUUGGUCUAGGUCUUGAUGAGGAUGAUCCUACUGUGGAUGACACCAGUGCUGCUGUAAAUGAAGCAAUGCCACCCCUGGAAGGAGAUGACAACACUUCAUACAUGGAAGUAAAUUAA